rnacentral:rRNA from 1 species
GCUAAUACUUGACGGGAAACGCCCUCAGUCGAGUGUGUUCCUCCGGGAGCAUAAUCUACUGAGGAGGGGAGGAUCCUUCUGGUCCUUUCAAUAUAUUACCACUUCUUUGUGAAUAAGGGUGGAUUAUAUGCCAAGAGAAUUGUAGAAAUCGAAAGAUUUUCACAAGUCAUCAUUAAGAAUAUCUGACCUAUCAACUGGUUGUUGGUAAGGUAGUGGCUUACCAAGGUGAUAACGGGUAACGAGGAAUAAGGGUUCGACAUCGGAGAGGGAGCUUUAGAAAUGGCUACCACUUCUAAGGAAGGCAGCAGGCGCGAAAAUUACCCAAUCUUAACAACUGAAGGAGGUAGUGACGACAAUUAACGCUUUCCCUCGCAUUUUGUGAGGAUUGCCGGAAUGAUCACGACAUAAACCAUCGUGAGAAAGCGAUUGGAGGGCAAGUCUGGUGCCAGCAGCCGCGGUAAUUCCAGCUCCAAUAGUGUAUUGUAAAGUUGUUGUGAUUAAAACGCUCGUAGUUGAAUGUAAACAAUCGAGGCAUGAUUUACGUUCUCUGGCGUGUGAGCUUGCUCAUUGUCAGUAGGACCGCAAUCAAUGAAUGUCUCACUAUAAGCGGGAGUUUGAUUCAGUUCCAAACUCUUUUACUUUGAUUAAAUCAAGGUGCUUAAAGCAAAAUCUUCUGUUAAUGAAUGAUGAAGCAUGGUAUAAAACGAAAAACAGAACAGAAAUCAAUAUUGAAUUAUGAGGAUGGCUUGCCAUUCGAAUUUUUCGGUGUUUUGUUUUGUUUAAAACAAGAUUAAGAGAAAUGAUUAGGGUGAUUUAGAUAGGAACGGGAGAGGUGGAAUUCCAUGAUCGUUUCGAGAUAAACGAGAGCGAAAGCAUUUCACUGAAUUCAUUUCAUUAAUCAAGAACGAAAGUCAGGGAAUCAAAGACGAUUAGAUACCGUCGUAGUCCUGACCAUAAACGAUGUCAACUAAGGAUUGGAUAAGAAAUUUUCGAAGUACGGGUUUCUAAUAUCAACAAGCGACAGCUUGGCGAUUCUGAAACUGUCUUCAAUUCUUCCCUUAUUCAGGACUUGAUGAGAAAUCAUUAAGUGAAUGGACUUCAGGGGGAGUAUGGUCACAAGGCUGAAACUUAAAGGAAUUGACGGAAGGGCACACCAGGAGUGGAGCCUGCGGCUUAAUUUGACUCAACACGGGAAAACUUACCAAGACCGAACGGUGUAAGGAAUGACAGGUUACUGGGUCUUUCAUGAUUCAUCGGGGAGU